rnacentral:rRNA from 1 species
ACCAUGCCGAAUCUGGGGAUUUCGUGCCUCAUUUUCUGCAAAACAAAGUGUUAGACCCUUACCCCACCGGACUCGACUAUUUAAACCAAUAAUUAGCAUAAUGGCAUUUAGUUCUCCAAAUAAAUGCACAGAAUAUGGUGUUGUCCGUUUGGGUUCCAGGGGAACCCAGUGGACUUUGGACAAGGCUAUCUUAAAGAGUCAUUAUGUGGACAGCAAAACUGACUCGACUAGGUUUGACAGUGAUGCAUGAACAAUUAAAUAGAAUAAGGUUUUUAUGAGGUGCUAGACCGGUACCCUUGAGCGGACAACUCAAGAGGGAAAGGCACGGAACCGUCGACUGCACCGCUGAUCGACUGGUUUUACCGCAAAUAUGCCUUUGCCAAAUUUAGGGGGUAAUAAUAUCGGAAGAGCGCAACAACUCAUCAAGCGUUGCUAUGGUAUCUGUUUGGCACGAGUGGAAUACGAUGUUGAAGAUGCAAUUACAAAAAAUGAAACAAAUUGUCACGUAUUUUCACGUUCAUAAUGAUUACAAUAAUUGCUCGAAAAUUACAACGGUAUUGGAGGAAAACAGUAAAUGAAGCGUUAAAGAAAGAAAAAGAAACAAAAAAGCCAAGUCAGUUUCGAAGUAGAAGAGAGAUAAAGACAUUAAAUAAAAACAAUAAAGAAGCAAUAAAGUCACGAAUAACAUGUAAUGGUAAAAGCCUAAAAAAAAUCCCCAGCAGAGUCGCCAUGCUGUCGACGCCCCCUUUUUCUCGCGAAAUCGGGUUUACGACAUUUGAGAAGACAACUGUAUUCCCGUGUGGGAAUUGGGUUUUUUGGAAUUGAAGAGUCGCCACCUAAUGAUUAAGUGCAUUAGGACACUGAGAGUUUUGAGUUUGAAAACCAGAGUUCGGGUAAAGGCUAGAAAUUAUCUCGAGGGGAAGGUGUUAGGCACCCCUCAAGAUCCACUAGUGUGGUUCCCGGCCAUGCUAUGUUGUGACUUUAAUGCAAAUAGGUAUACAAAUAACUUCACACAUAAGGGUUACAAAUAGAUACGUGACAAGCAUGUUGGAAUCAAGGUCUAGAUGAUCUACAAUUUGUUUGAGGGAGGGUCUAAAUGCAGAAAAUUAAUCAAGACAUUGAAUAAAUAAAGAAGACAAAUUUAGGGGAAAAAGGAAUAAUGCAGUAAAAUUAAAGAGGGGUUUUGGGUAGUUGAAAAGAUAGAAUUUUAUUGAUAUUAAACAAAGUCACAUAAAGGAAAGGGGCUCCUAGGCUUGUAAAACACAUGGAUCAUCCACACAACACCAGUAAUCAAUCGUACGCAUAGCGUUAUCAUGUGAUCAUCAUCUCCAUGUCUACCCUUCCCACCCCGUUAUGGUAUUUAAGCGCGGAAUGGUAUCGUUACCUACUGCAUCCUAUUACCCGUCCCACCUAUCAGUCCCGGAGGCGUUUAGGACUACUAAUCCUAAAAGGGAGGGAACUUGGCUUUUCAGGGGUUUUAAAAGGAUAAAAUUCUAGGGCGACAAACAAAACACAUAAAGCAGUUAAUGGGGAUAUAAGAACGAUUAAAGGCUCAAGUAGGCCUCCUCACUUAAAGAAACGAAUUGUUUAGCAUGUCUUACACAUACUAUUUAGGUCAUUAAUUAAAAUUAGCACAGGAAGAAUUAAUUUACCACAUAUUUCCCAGAUAGGGAGUCCAAAUUAGUCCUGCUUAGAUGUAGUUGUCGAAAACUGACAGUUGAUUAAUUAUCUAACUAUUUGUAUGUUAAACAGGGCCUAUAGGCAUGAUAUGUAUUAAUCCAGGGAUGGAGGAAUAACUGAUUGCAGAAAGUCAUUAGUUAAGCUCUACGAGUGUUAAACAAAUUGCCACUGAUUUUAAACUUAGGAACGAGUGGCGAUUCUGAUUAAGUUGAUAGUUCCUAUAGGCAUGCUUUCUAAGUGUAACUGAUUUUGAGCAGAGAUACUGUAUGCAGGGCAUCUGUAUGUAAUGAGUUAUUUUAACUCCUAUAAGGAGGCUUGCCUAAUAGCAAAUGUAUAUGCAAAGUGCAGGAGUGCAAAGGUUUCCUCGGGCCGGACGGAGAUUGGCCCUCGAGUGCAAAGGCAGAAGGGAGUUUGACUGCAAGACCCACCCGUCGAGCAGGGACGAAAGUCGGCCUUAGUGAUCCGACGGUGCCGAGUGGAAGGGCCGUCGCUCAACGGAUAAAAGUUACUCUAGGGAUAACAGGCUGAUCUUCCCCAAGAGCUCACAUCGACGGGAAGGUUUGGCACCUCGAUGUCGGCUCUUCGCCACCUGGGGCUGUAGUAUGUUCCAAGGGUUGGGCUGUUCGCCCAUUAAAGCGAUACGUGAGCUGGGUUCAGAACGUCGUGAGACAGUUCAGUCCAUAUUCGGUGUGGGCGUUAGAGCAUUGAGAGGACCUUUCCCUAGUACGAGAGGACCGGGAAGGACGCACCUCUGGUGUACCAGUUAUCGUGCCCACGGAAACGCUGGGUAGCCAAGUGCGGAGCGGAUAACUGCUGAAAGCAUCUAAGUAGUAAGCCCACCCCAAGAUGAGUGCUCUCCUAUUCCGACUUCCCCAGAGCCUCCGGUAGCACAGCCGAGACAGCGACGGGUUCUCUGCCCCUGCGGGGAUGGAGCGACAGAAGUUUUUUUGAGAAUUCAAGAGAAGGUCACGGCGAGACGAGCCGUUUAUCAUUACGAUAGGUGUCAAGUGGAAGUGCAGUGAUGUAUGCAGCUGAGGCAUCCUAACAGACCGGUAGACUUGAAC